CAGCCCUCGGACUUCCAGUAACAGCUCGCGGGUGCCUGACCUCUUGAGGGUCCCCAGGCCCUGAGAUUCUUGUUCCCUUGAGUCCCUAGACGUGCAGCCUCUCACCGGAGCUUUGCAGCUCUCGGGACCCAGACUUAGCAUGAUCUCCUCUCCCUGCCCCCCACGACGCCACCAGCUGCCCAUUCCGUGCUGACAAAGAACAGUGACGCCCACUGUGCCAAGCCUCCUGGGAUGGAGAAACUGACAUCCUCCUCCACCCUGACUUCCUGCGGGACCUCAGGCAAGCGGGAUAAGACCUGCACCUCUUUAUCUGUUCGUUGAUGCAUGAAUCUGCAUUGCCACCUUUAUUAAGGUGUAACGUGAAAAAUAGAAUUGUAAGAUUUGAAAG